rnacentral:miRNA from 1 species
GUAUGUAUGUAUGUGUAUGUGUAUAUAUAUAGAUAUGUGUGUAUACACACACACACACACACACACACACACACACACA